GUGGGGAAUAUUGGACAAUGGGCGAAAGCCUGAUCCAGCCAUGCCGCGUGUGUGAAGAAGGUCUUCGGAUUGUAAAGCACUUUAAGUUGGGAGGAAGGGCAGUAAGUUAAUACCUUGCUGUUUUGACGUUACCGACAGAAUAAGCACCGGCUAACUUCGUGCCAGCAGCCGCGGUAAUACGAAGGGUGCAAGCGUUAAUCGGAAUUACUGGGCGUAAAGCGUGCGUAGGUGGUUUUGUAAGUUGGAGGUGAAAUCCCCGGGCUCAACCUGGGAACUGCCUCCAAAACUGCAUGACUAGAGUACGGUAGAGGGUAGUGGAAUUUCCUGUGUAGCGGUGAAAUGCGUAGAUAUAGGAAGGAACACCAGUGGCGAAGGCGACUACCUGGACUGAUACUGACACUGAGGUGCGAAAGCGUGGGGAGCAAACAGGAUUAGAAACCCUUGUAGUCC
rnacentral:rRNA from 1 species